UUUUUUUACCUAAACAUAAAACAUUAGUUAAAAUAUAAAUAUUUGAAGUCUUUAUUCCUAUGAGUAAUGUGAAAAAAAGAACGCAAUUUGAUUAUUUUUAUAAUCUCCGGAGAUAUCACAAUUGUUAUAACUUCGUGGGACAUUCUGUAUACACCUUAUAUCGACCACUCAAACAUACAAUUUUAAAUGUAUUCAUAGUUUAGUAAGCAAUAAAUUGAGUCAUGAAAAUAAUUUAUUUUCGCAAAAAAGUUAAUGCGAAAUCCUCAGUCCAAUUGACAAUUGACUAG